UACAAAGUAUGCAACUGUGACAACUGCUCAAACAAUUCCCAGCUUAUCGGGCUGAUUCUUCGACUAUAAAAAGCCAAGCAUGUGGCUGGAAAGUUAUACAGUUGCAGUAUAACGAUCGCAAUGUUUAACUUGAAGUUCUUGAUUCUGUUGGCCGUCAUCCUUUGCUCUGCUCAGGAAUGCAUUGUCUCCGCCAAUCCUGCCCCAGUUGCGUCACAGGCUGCUAUUGCUGAGGAAGGCGGUUGUGGAUGCGGUUGCUGUGGUUGCGGUUGCGGUUGUUGCCGCUGUGGUUGCUGUGGAUGAAUUCUUAUCUCAGAUAAAUAGAACGGAGGUUAACGCAAAUGGGAAUUGAACCGUCAGAGCUGUUUAUUUAACAUUUGUGCAUUUGCUGUCAUUAAAAUGUUGUUAUCCUUUGAA